AAGGGAGCCCUCUCCUUCUGCUCUGCUUCGGCUCUGUGGCAGUUCAAACAGCAGCUUUUGGGCCAGGGAGGCUGUCUCUGGCUUCCUGGGACUCUGACUGCCAACUCAGGACCUCACCACGGGUGCUGACAUUCGACUGAGGGGUGGCAAUCUGCCCGGAGACACUUAGGUGGUCCUGCAGAAGAUCGGCCUUGGGAAUUGGCAGCCUUUCCAUUUGUGGAUUCAUUCCAGCCAUGAACUCGCCAAAGGGCCAUCCAUUCUGCUGAGACCUUUUAUUUCUCAUGAAUGUCCCAGGCAUAGGUCUUAAGUAUGACAGGGCUCAGCUGCGGAGGGGCAGUAUUGGCGGUAGAUCCGCAGCUUCAAGACUGAGUGAGUCCUUAGUGUAGCAGGAGCUGAGCUCAAAGAUAGGACUUUAUUAGACUCCCCCAGCCAUGCUUGGGCUCCAUCCUGGGCUCUUCCUGCAGAGGGGGAGCUCUGGCUCUCCCACUCAAACACAGGUCCUGCAGAGCCUGGUGCAGCUCAAUUUGCAUUCAGUCCGCUGGGUCUUAAGUAGAGAGACCAAGGGCCAUGUCUGAAGAAACUGCUGGCUUCUGGCAGCUGAAGAGAGAGUCCAGAUGUGAAGAUGGAACUCCAAGAAAAGGCCAAGGCAAGCACAGAAAGCAAGUUUUACUUAAGGAUGAGAACAGACGUCUCCCAGGAGGAAGAUACCCAGGGUUGGUAUCCCAGGGAGUGGGGGGUCCUGCCCCUUUUAUAUACUUCAGAAUUUCUUUGUUCUCGUGGCCUCUCCCCACCAUCCUGCAUACAUGGCCAGUGACCAAAGUGAUGGGCCAAGGUCAUGAAUGAAGCCAUCCUCCAGGGGUCCAGGCUGGA